rnacentral:misc_RNA from 1 species
GGAAGUAAAAGUCGUAACAAUGUUUCCGUAGGUGAACCUGCGGAAGGAUCAUUCAUAAUAAGUGUUUUACUGCACUUUUUAAAAACCAGUAUUCACCUUGUGUGCAAUGUUUGCUGACGAGUUCGCGUUUUUACGCGUUCUUGGCAGCAUAAUACCAACCCUUUAUUGAAAUUUUUUGUCUGAAGAUUUUUUGAAUACAUAAUUCGAAAUACAACUUUUAACAACGGAUCUCUUGGCUCUC